AAUCAACGCUGGCGGCGUGCCUCAGACAUGCAAGUCGAACGAUUAAACUUUCCUUCGGGAAAGAUAUAAAGUGCGCACGGGUGAGUAACACGUAAGUAAUCUACCUUCGAGUGGGGAAUAACGUUCGGAAACGAACGCUAAUACCGCAUAAUGCAGCGGCACCUAAUGGUGACAGUUGUUAAAGGAGCAAUUCGCUUGAAGAGGAGCUUGCGGCAGAUUAGCUAGUUGGUAAGGAACGGCUUACCAAGGCUACGAUCUGUAACCGGUCUAAGAGGACGGUCGGUCACACUGACACUGAAUAACGGGUCAGACUCCUACGGGAGGCAGCAGUCGGGAAUUUUGGGCAAUGGGCGAAAGCCUGACCCAGCAACGCCGCGUGAAGGAUGAAGUAUUUCGGUAUGUAAACUUCGAAAGAAUGGGAAGAAUCAAUGACGGUACCAUUUAUAAGGUCCGGCUAACUACGUGCCAGCCGCCGCCGU
rnacentral:rRNA from 1 species